rnacentral:rRNA from 1 species
CCUACGGGUGGCAGCAGUGAGGAAUAUUGGUCAAUGGGCGCGAGCCUGAACCAGCCAAGUCGCGUGAGGGAAGACGGUCCUAUGGAUUGUAAACCUCUUUUGUCGGGGAGCAAAAGACGCCACGCGUGGCGUUCCGAGAGUACCCGAAGAAAAAGCAUCGGCUAACUCCGUGCCAGCAGCCGCGGUAAUAAGGAGGAUGCGAGCGUUGUCCGGAUUUAUUGGGUUUAAAGGGUGCGCAGGGGGAAUAUCAAGGCAGAGGGAAAAUUGAGAGGCUCAACCUCUUCGAGCCGUUGAAACUGGUUUUCUUGAGUGAGUGAGAAGUAUGCGGAUUGCGUGGUGUAGCGGUGAAAUGCAUAGAUAUCACGCAGAACUCCGAUUGCGAAGGCAGCAUAACGGCGCUCAACUGACGCUCAUGCACGAAAGUGUGGGUAUCGAACAGGAUUAGAUACCCUGGUAGUC